AUCAGUAACAAUUAAAAAGAUUAAUACGACGUACAUAUAUCAUUUGAAAGAAAUUAUUACUGGAAAAAUUAAACAAGUGGCAGAGAGAUGAAUCGAUUUUUGGUGAUUAUAUAGUUGGCAUCUUGGAGAGUGAUGAAAUGCAUGAAUAAAAAGCAUUUACUUUACAGGAACUGUUAGGUGCAGUGGUGGGUGAUACAAGUUAAUUUUAGUUAAAAUGAUAUGAGGAAAAAGCACGAAAAAUAUAACCUGUUAACAAGGCACUCCAAUAUACAGAGGAAGAGCGUCAGACACACAAUGUUGCUUGUAAAUCCUACCAAAGCUGUUACUGUACCAUAUACAAUUUGGAAUAUCAUGACAUCACGCGGAUUAUUGCUUACUGCUUUGUAAUGGACCUAAUUUUUCCUAGCCGGGGUAGUUCUCAGCCUAGUCCAAGGUCUUACAAGAAAAUUUCUAUUCGCGGGGA